CUACGGGUCGCUGCAGUGGGGAAUAUUGCGCAAUGGACGAAAGUCUGACGCAGCGACGCCUCGUGAGGGACGAAGGUCUUCGGAUUGUAAACCUCUUUCAGCAGGGACGAAGCGAAAGUGACGGUACCUGCAGAAGAAGCACCGGCUAACUAUGUGCCAGCAGCCGCGGUAUACAUAGGGUGCAAGCGUUGUCCGGAUUUAUUGGGCGUAAAGAGUUCGUAGGCGGUUUUUCGCGUCGGAUGUGAAAACUCAGGGCUCAACCCUGAGCCUGCAUUCGAUACGGGAAGACUCGAGGACGGCAGGGGAGACUGGAACUUCUGGUGUAGCGGUGGAAUGCGCAGAUAUCAGAAAGAACACCAAUGGCGAAGGCAGGUCUCUGGGCCGAUCCUGACGCUGAGGAACGAAAGCGUGGGGAGCAAACAGGAUUAGAUACCCUUGUAGUC
rnacentral:rRNA from 1 species